rnacentral:rRNA from 1 species
UGAGGAAUAUUGGUCAAUGGGCGAGAGCCUGAACCAGCCAAGUAGCGUGCAGGAUGACGGCCCUAUGGGUUGUAAACUGCUUUUAUGUGGGGAUAAAGUGCGUGACGUGUCAUGCAUUGCAGGUACCACAUGAAUAAGGACCGGCUAAUUCCGUGCCAGCAGCCGCGGUAAUACGGAAGGUCCGGGCGUUAUCCGGAUUUAUUGGGUUUAAAGGGAGCGUAGGCUGUCGAUUAAGCGUGUUGUGAAAUUUACCGGCUCAACCGGUGGCUUGCAGCGCGAACUGGUCGACUUGAGUAUGCAGGAAGUGGGCGGAAUUCAUGGUGUAGCGGUGAAAUGCUUAGAUAUCAUGACGAACUCCGAUUGCGCAGGCAGCUUACUGUAGCAUAACUGACGCUGAUGCUCGAAAGUGCGGGUAUCAAACAGG